rnacentral:rRNA from 1 species
GAUGAACGCUGGCGGCGUGCCUAAUACAUGCAAGUCGAACGAAACUUCUUUAUCACCGAGUGCUUGCACUCACCGAUAAAGAGUUGAGUGGCGAACGGGUGAGUAACACGUGGGCAACCUGCCCAAAAGAGGGGGAUAACACUUGGAAACAGGUGCUAAUACCGCAUAACCAUAGUUACCGCAUGGUAACUAUGUAAAAGGUGGCUAUACUACCGCUUUUGGAUGGGCCCGCGGCGCAUUAGCUAGUUGGUAGGGUAAAGGCUUACCAAGGCAAUGAUGCGUAGCCGAAGUGAGAGGUUGAUCGGCCAAACUGGGACUGAGACACGGUCCAAACUCCUACGGGAGGCAGCAGUAGGGAAUUUUCCACAAUGGGCGAAAGCCUGAAGGAGCAACGCCGCGUGGGUGAAGAAGGUCUUCGGAUCGUAAAACCCUGUUGUUAGAGAAGAAAGUGCGUGAGAGUAACUGUUCACGUUUCGACGGUAUCUAACCAGAAAGCCACUGCUAACUACGUG